GACGAACGCUGGCGGCGUGCUUAACACAUGCAAGUCGAACGGAAAGGCCCCCACCUUGGUGGGGGUGCUCGAGUGGCGAACGGGUGAGUAACACGUGGGUGAUCUGCCCUGUACUUCGGGUUAAGCUUGGGAAACUGGGUCUAAUACCGGAUAGGACCAUGGUUUAGUGUCUCAUGGUGGAAAAAUUAUUGUUUUGGUGCAGGAUGAGCUCGCGGCCUAUCAGCUUGUUGGUGGGGUAAUGGCCUACCAAGGCGUCGACGGGUAGCCGGCCUGAGAGGGUGGACGGCCACAUUGGGACUGAGAUACGGCCCAGACUCCUACGGGAGGCAGCAGUGGGGAAUAUUGCACAAUGGGCGCAAGCCUGAUGCAGCGACGCCGCGUGGGGGAUGACGGCCUUCGGGUGGUAAACUCCUUUCGUUAGGGACGAAGCCACACCUUUUUUGGGUGUGGUGACGGUACCUUUGUGAAGAAGCACCGGCUAACUACGUG
rnacentral:rRNA from 1 species